GCUAGCAGCCAUAUCACCCUGCAGCUCUCAACUGGCAGCCCACUGAAGCUCAGCAGGGUUGAGCCUGGUCAGGACCUGGACAGGAGACCUCCUGGGAAGCUAUGGUUGCUGCUGGAA
rnacentral:rRNA from 1 species